GGAGAGUCGAUUGGACAGUCGCUGCCCUCUAUGAAAAUUAGGGGGGGGAGGAAAGUCCGGGCUCCAUAGGGCGAAGUGCCAGGUAAUGCCUGGGAGGCGUGAGCCUACGGAAAGUGCCACAGAAAAUAACCGCCUAAGCGCUUCGGUGCCGGUAAGGGUGAAAAGGUGCGGUAAGAGCGCACCGCACGACUGGCAACAGUUCGUGGCUAGGUAAACCCCACUUGGAGCAAGACCAAAUAGGGUCCCAAGGCGUGGCCCGCGCUGGGACCGGGUAGGUUGCUAAAGAUGUCCAGUGAUGGCCAUCGUAGACGAAUGACUGUUCAAGACAGAACCCGGCUUACAGAUCGACUCUCCACCUU
rnacentral:RNase_P_RNA from 1 species